UUAGUUUGAUUUUCUCCUUCAAUUGUGACCUCUCCUUGUAACAACAAAAAAGAGAAAGUGGAAGUGUUAUUUAGAGUGGAAAAAAUAAGAGACAACACAAAAAGCACGUGACCGUCCAUCAAAAAGAAGAGCUUAUCCAGUUGUCAACGUGUUAUAUAGUACUAGUACCUUAAAAUAAUGUGCUGUCUCAUUGCUUAAGAGAGACGAAGAAAACCAAAUACUAUUGAAUUUGUUUCAAUACUUUAGCCACUGUGGUGGCGUCUUUGUCUGAACUGAACGCAACAAAAAGAAACCAAACCAAACUCAGAGUUGAGAAUCAAUUCAAGAUAUGGGAAGUGUGAGUAUGAAUCCAUUAUUUAGAAGUGAGUCUUUUGGAUAUUAUAACUACUUCCCUGACCAGAACUACACCAUGAUGGAGAAGAGACAGUUGUUCCUAAGAAGCUACCAGUUCUGUAGAAAGAAGAGUCUGACAGAGAGAAUCAAAGGGUCAUUCAUCCGUGCUAAGAAAGUUGUUUGGUUAAAGCUAAGGCAUGCUCGUGGAUUAAGAAAGUUGGUGUUUUUUCCCAGGUUUAAGUGCGGUUUCUAUUACCGUAGAAGAAGGUUCUUUUCACAGCUUUAAACACUAGUAAUAAUUAUAGCCACAAGCGCAAAACUGAUUCUUCAACGUGUCUAUGGUAGUGAAACAUCUAUGUAAUUCAUUCGGAUUUAGAUUUUAGAACAUGUAUGUAUUUUAUUCUGUUCAUCGUUCUCUCUAUUGUUUAAUUGUUUGGUUGAUAGGGUUGUUUGUCAUAUCUUUAACUGCUCCUUCUUUCUUUCUUGUCUUUUCUAAUGGAGUGAGCAAAUAUUGAAAUAUAAAAUUGAUUCAGAAAUUGUUCAUA